rnacentral:rRNA from 1 species
UACGGAGGGGGCUAGCGUUGUUCGGCAUUACUGGGCGUAAAGCGCACGUAGGCGGCUUUGUAAGUUAGCGGUGAAAGCCCGGGGCUCAACUCCGGAAUUGCCUUUAAGACUGCAUCGCUAGAAUUGUGGAGAGGUAAGUGGAAUUCCGAGUGUAGAGGUGAAAUUCGUAGAUAUUCGGAAGAACACCAGUGGCGAAGGCGACUUACUGGACACAUAUUGACGCUGAGGUGCGAAAGCGUGGGGAGCAAACAGG